ACAUAAGAUACAAUAAACAUUCACAUGCAAACAAGAAAGGGGACCUUCUUCAGCCAAAAGUUUACACAUAAGAAAUCUAGUAGGUAUUUGACUGAAGAAUGCAGAAUGAAUUGGUAAUUCUAGAUACCUCUCUCAUAAAUUAACUGAGCAAAGUCAAUAACUUAAAUCUUAUUAUGGCAUGAUUAAAAUCUUUAAUUAUUA
rnacentral:lncRNA from 1 species